AGUGAACGCUGGCGGCGUGCUUAACACAUGCAAGUCGAACGAGAACGGGCUAUAGCUUGCUAUAGUUGUCAGCUAAGUGGCGCACGGGUGAGUAAUGUAUAGGUAAUAUGCCUCUUACUAAGGGAUAACAAAUGGAAACGUUUGCUAAUACCUUAUACUCCUUUUAAACAAAAGUUUAAAAGGGAAAGAUUUAUUGGUAAGAGAUUAGCCUGUAUUGUAUCAGUUAGUUGGUGGGGUAAUGGCUUACCAAGACUAUGACACAUAACUGGUUUGAGAGGAUGAUCAGUCACACUGGAACUGAGACACGGUCCAGACUCCUACGGGAGGCAGCAGUGGGGAAUAUUGCACAAUGGACGAAAGUCUGAUGCAGCAACGCCGCGUGGAGGAUGACACAUUUCGGUGCGUAAACUCCUUUUAUAUAAGAAGAUAAUGACGGUAUUAUAUGAAUAAGCACCGGCUAACUCCGUG
rnacentral:rRNA from 1 species